UACGGGGGGGGCAAGCGUUGUUCGGAAUUACUGGGCGUAAAGGGCUCGUAGGUGGCCAACUAAGUCAGACGUGAAAUCCCUCGGCUUAACCGGGGAACUGCGUCUGAUACUGGAUGGCUUGAGGUUGGGAGAGGGACGCGGAAUUCCAGGCGUAGCGGUGAAAUGCGUAGAUAUCUGGAGGAACACCGGUGGCGAAGGCGGCGUCCUGGACCAAUUCUGACACUGAGGAGCGAAAGCCAGGGGAGCAAACGGG
rnacentral:rRNA from 1 species